rnacentral:rRNA from 1 species
UACGUAGGGAGCAAGCGUUGUCCGGAAUCAUUGGGCGUAAAGCGCGCGUAGGUGGCCAUGUAAGUCCGCUGUGAAAGUCAAAGGCUCAACCUUUGAAAGCCGGUGGAUACUGCAUGGCUAGAGUACGGAAGAGGCGAGUGGAAUUCCUGGUGUAGCGGUGGAAAUGCGCAGAUAUCAGGAGGAACACCAAUAGCGAAGGCAGCUCGCUGGGACGUUACUGACACUGAGGCGCGAAGCGUGGGAGCGAACAGG